UGGGGAAUAUUGGACAAUGGGCGAAAGCCUGAUCCAGCCAUGCCGCGUGAGUGAUGAAGGCCCUAGGGUUGUAAAGCUCUUUUGUGCGGGAAGAUAAUGACGGUACCGCAAGAAUAAGCCCCGGCUAACUUCGUGCCAGCAGCCGCGGGAAUACGAAGGGGGCUAGCGUUGCUCGGAAUCACUGGGCGUAAAGGGUGCGUAGGCGGGUUUCUAAGUCAGAGGUGAAAGCCUGGAGCUCAACUCCAUAACUGCCUUUGAUACUGGAAGUCUGGAGUUCGGGAGAGGUGAGUGGAACGACAAGUGUAGAGGUGAAAUUCGUAGAUAUUCGCAAGAACACCA
rnacentral:rRNA from 1 species